rnacentral:rRNA from 1 species
UACGUAGGGUGCGAGCGUUAAUCGGAAUUACUGGGCGUAAAGUGUGCGCAGGCGUCUCUGCAAGUCGAGUGUGAAAUCCCCGAGCUUAACUUGGGAAUUGCGCUCGAAACUAUGGAGCUGGAGUGUGGCAGAGGAAGGUGGAAUUCCACGUGUAGCGGUGAAAUGCGUAGAGAUGUGGAGGAACACCGAUGGCGAAGGCAGCCUUCUGGGCCAACACUGACGCUCAUGCACGAAAGCGUGGGGAGCAAACAGG